rnacentral:rRNA from 1 species
CCUACGGGAGGCAGCAGUGGGGGAUAUUGCACAAUGGGGGAAACCCUGAUGCAGCGACGCCGCGUGGGCGAAGAAGUAUUUCGGUAUGUAAAGCCCUAUCAGCAGGGAAGAAGAAAUGUCGGUACCUGACUAAGAAGCACCGGCUAAAUACGUGCCAGCAGCCGCGGUAAUACGUAUGGUGCAAGCGUUAUCCGGAUUUACUGGGUGUAAAGGGAGCGCAGGCGGGACGGCAAGCCUGAUGUGAAAGCCCGCGGGCCAACCGCGGGACUGCAUUGGGAACUAGCGGGCUGGAGUGGCGGAGAGGUAGGCGGAAUGCCUAGUGUAGCGGUGAAAUGCGUAGAUAUUAGGAGGAACACCAGUGGCGAAGGCGGCCUACUGGACGGUGACUGACGCUGAGGCUCGAAAGCGUGGGGAGCGAACAGGAUUAGAUACCCCGGUAGUC